GUGUAAAGCAGUGUCAGAACUGAACUGAGAGGCAGUUGCUAAAAGCAGACGGUGGGGCAGAAGCCCAUUAGAUUGUGUUGUAAUUAUCAGAGAGGAACAGGAAAUGGAGAGAAAAGCAACUUGCACAGAGCAAGAAAUACACAGAAAGAAAGCAGAAUGGAACUACGUGCAAUGAACAAGAAAAGAGACCUUGGAUUACACCAAUGCAAGAAAGUAUGGCCUGUGGCCUCCAUUGCUUUGUAAUUGCAGGGGGAGGAAGUAUGACUCAGCAAAAUACGGUAUUUUAUUUCUGGCAAAUUCAAACAACAAACUAUCUCCAUGCAACCAAGAAGGGGAGAUCAGGAACAAGCAAACAACAAAGUCAGGUUUCAGUCAUCCGAUCAGGGAGCAGACACAAUACCAUAUGCCGUAAGUGACCAAUCACAUGCCAUGAAGAACAAAUGGUCAAACAGAACAGUCUGCACAGUUCCCAGAGAUUGAACAUGUUUUCCCCAAACUAGUUGACAAAGAUGAGGCUGUUUGGCCGGGUUGUUAUGGGACGAGAGCACAGUCCAGCUGUAUGGAGUUAGCUGAUCAGUGUGAGAGUAUUUCGCUGUUGGUCAAAGCACCAGCAGUCACACAUGAUUCAGAAGUGAAAGACCCAGAAUACCCUGGUCAUCAUCUUUUCAUGGGGAAGAGAAAACUGUGUUCCUGGUCACCUUGCCAGAGAAUCAGAUGAGAACACAGCGGCAAAAGGAGAAGAGGUGACUUCCCCAAAGUGACACAUUUCAGGCCCAGAGCUAAGGACUGACAAUGCUGAGGAGAUGGUGCUCUCCCAUAAAGAUGAUCCAUUCCCAUUAAAUGGCACAGUGUGGGGAACCCUACAACGUUGUUGCUUGUUCCAUGAUUAGAGGACAGCAGUCUCCUGGAGGGUCACUCUGGCUUCUCUUAUCGGGACUAAUUUCCCCUGGAUUUCUUGUGCUAAUACGUGCCAGUUUGUAACAUUACACACACUCUGCAUACCUGCACGAAGAAAUUCUGGCAAUCUUCAUUAUGGCUAAAUCCAAGUGCAUAAUUGGGAGCUGAUACUUAGUCAAACUUUGCCUCAUUUUCUGUUUGGAAAAUGCUGACUCACAUGUUCCAAAUGUCUCACAUCUUGUUACUUGAAAUUAUCCAUGGAUUUCUUUGUGAAUGUUUCCCUGUACCAAGAGCUCACAGUUUGCUGUGAAUAUUCAGUGUUAGACUCUGAACAUCCUUGCUGCAUUGCUUAGUUAAAUAAGUCACAUGGUUUAGCUUCUCUUCCAUGAUUGGAUGAUUUAUAUAACUAACGUUACAAUCACAUGCACAAUUUGCACAAUUUGCAAUUUGCUUUGAGUGAAGAAUUGUGCUUCAAAUAUACUUUUCACACGUAUUUGUGCUAGUACAGCUCAGUUUGUAGAUUUGCUGGAUUGAAAACCGUGUAGAAAAAUCACAAGCUAUCACUUUAAAUUUCAGGGGUUUCCUGGUCUUGCUUGCAGGCUACGGGGAGCAGUCAGCUGUGUCUCUCUUUUUGGGGGGGUUCUUGUGUAUGAUCAUUGUGAAUUCUAAGGAAUAAAGUCAUGUUACAUUGCAAUGUUCUAGCAAGAAUAAAGUCUUUAUCUAACUCAGUGUUUCUCAA